AUUGAACGCUGGCGGCAGGCCUAACACAUGCAAGUCGAGCGAGCGGCGGACGGGUGAGUAAUGUCUGGGAAACUGCCUGUUGGAGGGGGAUAACUACUGGAAAAGGUAGCUAAUACCGCAUACCAUCAGCUGUGCCCAGAUGGGAUUAGCUAGUAGGUGGGGUAAUGGCUCACCUAGGCGACGCUCCCUAGCUGGUCUGAGAGGAUGACCGGCCACACUGGAACGGAGCCACGGUCCAGACUCCUACGGGAGGCAGCAGUGGGGAAUAUUGCACAAUGGGCGAAAGCCGGAGGCAGCCAUGCCGCGUGUGUGAAGAAGGCCUUCGGGUUGUAAAGCACUUUCAGCGGGGAGGCGGUACCCGCAUAAUAAGCACCGGCUAACUCCGUGCCAGCAGCCGCGGUAAUAC
rnacentral:rRNA from 1 species